rnacentral:rRNA from 1 species
GAUGAACGCUGGCGGCGUGCCUAAUACAUGCAAGUCGAGCGAAUGGAUUAAGAGCUUGCUCUUAUGAAGUUAGCGGCGGACGGGUGAGUAACACGUGGGUAACCUGCCCAUAAGACUGGGAUAACUCCGGGAAACCGGGGCUAAUACCGGAUAACAUUUUGAACCGCAUGGUUCGAAAUUGAAGGGCGGCUUCGGCUGUCACUUAUGGAUGGACCCGCGUCGCAUUAGCUAGUUGGUGAGGUAACGGCUCACCAAGGCAACGAUGCGUAGCCCACGUGAGAGGGUGAACGGCCACACGGGGACUGAGACACGGCCCAGACUCCUGCGGGAGGCAGCAGUAGGGAAUCUUCCGCAAUGGACGAAAGUCUGACGGAGCAACGCCGCGUGAGUGAUGAAGGCUUUCGGGUCGUAAAACUCUGUUGUUAGGGAAGAACAAGUGCUAGUUGAAUAAGCUGGCACCUUGACGGUACCUAACCAGAAAGCCACGGCUAACUACGUGCCAGCAGCCGCUGUAA